rnacentral:rRNA from 1 species
CAAAGGCUUGGUCCUCGCCUUACUGUCGGCUUUAGCCAGACUUACACAUGCAAGUAUCCGCACCCCUGUGAGAAUGCCCCCCCACCGUUUCCUCCCUGGAAACAAGGAGCUGGUAUCAGGCACGGUCUAUAAACCAGCCCACGACACCUUGCUUAGCCACACCCCCAAGGGACCUCAGCAGUGAUAAACAUUAAGCCAUAAGCGAAAGCUUGACUUAGUUAAAGCUCAGAGAGCCGGUAAAACUCGUGCCAGCCACCGCGGUUAUACGAGAGGCUCAAGUUGACAGAUACCGGCGUAAAGCGUGGUUAGGGAAAAUUUUAAACUAAAGCCGAACAUCCUCAGAGCAGUUCAACGCUUACGAGUUAAGAAGAUCUAUCACGAAAGUAGCUUUACCCCACCUGACCCCACGAAAGCUGUGGCACAAACUGGGAUUAGAUACCCCACUAUGCUCAGCCAUAAAAUUUGAUAGGUCCCUACACACCUAUCCGCCCGGGAACUACGAGCAUCAGCUUAAAACCCAAAGGACUUGGCGGUGCUUCACAUCCGUCUAGAGGAGCCUGUUCUAUAACCGAUAACCCCCGUUAAACCUCACCCUCCCUUGUUAUUCCCGCCUAUAUACCGCCGUCGUCAGCCCACCCUGUGAAGGACUAGAAGUGAGCAAAAUUGGUAAAACCUAAAACGUCAGGUCGAGGUGUAGUAUAUGAGAGGGGAAGAAAUGGGCUACAUUUCCUAAUCUAGGAAAUACGAACAAUGUACUGAAACAAACAUUAGAAGGUGGAUUUAGCAGUAAGCAAGAAAUCAGAGAGUUCUGCUGAAGAUCUACGGCACUAAAGCACGCACAUAUCGCCCGU